rnacentral:rRNA from 1 species
GACGAACGCUGGCGGCGUGCUUAACACAUGCAAGUCGAGCGGUAAGGCCCUUUCGGGGGUACACGAGCGGCGAACGGGUGAGUAACACGUGGGUGACCUGCCUCUAGCUCUGGGAUAAGCCCGGGAAACUGGGUCUAAUACUGGAUAUGACUCCAUGACGCAUGUUGUGGGGUGGAAAGCCUUGUGCGGCUAGAGAUGGGCCCGCGGCCUAUCAGCUUGUUGGUGGGGGAUGGCCUACCAAGGCGACGACGGGUAGCCGGCCUGAGAGGGCGACCGGCCACACUGGGACUGAGACACGGCCCAGACUCCUACGAGAGGCAGCAGUGGGGAAUCUUGCGCAAUGGGCGAAAGCCUGACGCAGCGACGCCGCGUGAGGGAUGACGG